rnacentral:rRNA from 1 species
GAUGAACGCUGGCGGCGUGCCUAAUACAUGCAAGUCGAGCGAACGGACGCGAAGCUUGCUUCUCUGAUGUUAGCGGCGGACGGGUGAGUAACACGUGGAUAACCUACCUAUAAGACUGGGAUAACUUCGGGAAACCGGAGCUAAUACCGGAUGAUAUUUUGAACCGCAUGGUUCAAAAGUGAAAGACGGUCUUGCUGUCACUUAUAGAUGGAUCCGCGCUGCAUUAGCUAGUUGGUAAGGUAACGGCUUACCAAGGCAACGAUGCAUAGCCGACCUGAGAGGGUGAUAGGCCACACGGGAACGGAGACACGGUCCAGACUCCUAAGGGAGGCAGCAGUAGGGAAUCUUACGCAAUGGGCGAAAGCCUGACGGAGCAACGCCGCGUGAGUGAUGAAGGUCUUCGGAUCGUAAAACUCUGUUAUUAGGGAAGAACAUAUGUGUAAGUAACUGUGCACAUCUUGACGGUACCUAAUCAGAAAGCCACGGCUAACUACGUG